UACGAAGGGUGCAAGCGUUAAUCGGAAUUACUGGGCGUAAAGGGUGCGUAGGCGGUUCGUUAAGUCUGUUGUGAAAUCCCCGGGCUCAACCUGGGAAUGGCAAUGGAUACUGGCGAGCUAGAGUGUGUCAGAGGAUGGUGGAAUUCCCGGUGUAGCGGUGAAAUGCGUAGAGAUCGGGAGGAACAUCAGUGGCGAAGGCGGCCAUCUGGGACAACACUGACGCUGAAGUACGAAAGCGUGGGGAGCAAACAGG
rnacentral:rRNA from 1 species